GAUGAAGAACGUAGCGAAAUGCGAUAAGUAGUGUGAAUUGCAGAAUUCAGUGAAUCAUCGAAUCUUUGAACGCACAUUGCGCCCUUUGGUAUUCCAAAGGGCAUGCCUGUUCGAGCGUCAUUUGUACCCUCAAGCUUUGCUUGGUGUUGGGCGUCUUGUCUCUAGCUUUGCUGGAGACUCGCCUUAAAGUAAUUGGCAGCCGGCCUACUGGUUUCGGAGCGCAGCACAAGUCGCACUCUCUAUCAGCAAAGGUCUAGCAUCCAUUAAGCCUUUUUUUCAACUUUUGACCUCGGAUCAGGUAGGGAUUCCCGCUGAACUUAAGCAUAUCAAUAAGCGGAGGA
rnacentral:misc_RNA from 1 species